rnacentral:lncRNA from 1 species
GGCAUUUUAGUCUUUUCACUUUGCUCCCCAACCUCAACUUAAUUUCUCAAAUCCAACUUAAUUCUAAAAAUUAUCCCCAAGCGUGAUUUAAACGCCUAAUUAUACCCUAAUACACCUAAACCAUUUUUAUCGAAUAAUUAUCGAUUAAACUUGAAUAUUGAGAUUCCUAGUAAUUCUUAUAUUAUUUAGCGAUUAAAUUAAUUAUUAGAAUUUCCAAUUAUUAUUUCUCAAGGAAUAGAGUUAGUCUAACUCGAAAUUUAUCGAUUUAGUAAUGUAAAGUCAAGUGAAAUAAUAAUCAAAUCCAAGAAUGUCAAUUUGCACAUAAAAAUUAUUUUUACGCACUUAUUGUGAAAACAAAGAAAGAUAAGAAUAUAUUUAUCGAAUUUUUCACACCUUAAUUAUGUUUAGUAUACUUGUAUCAUGUUUAUCUAAAAUUUAUAGGCUUUGUCUCAUAGUGAACAUUCUUAUUAGUGUUUAACAUUAUUCACUAAUUUAGAAUUAGUUAUAGAAAUUCAAGAAAUUUUAUAUACUUAAUCUACUCAGGUAACAUUAAUUUUCAACAUUAAGAAAACUAAGUAUUUUAGUAUUUUAUUUUAAGGCGAUAAAUUAAUCUAACUC